rnacentral:rRNA from 1 species
UACGUAGGGGGCUAGCGUUGUCCGGAAUCAUUGGGCGUAAAGGGCUCGUAGGCGGCCAACUAAGUCAGACGUGAAAUCCCUCGGCUUAACCGGGGAACUGCGUCUGAUACUGGAUGGCUUGAGGUUGGGAGAGGGAUGCGGAAUUCCAGGUGUAGCGGUGAAAUGCGUAGAUAUCAGGAGGAACACCUGUGGUGUAGACAGCUUACUGGACCACUUCUGACGCUGAGACACGAAAGCGUGGGUAGCAAACAGG